GUGACGCCAUGUGGACCGCCCUGGCAGAAGGAACGCAUGCGCAGUACAGUGCGAGAGCAAAGCUCUUCACCGCCCCCUCCCACUCCAUCCUGGAUGCUGAGACGCCUGCCCCCAACCCCUCCUAGGCUCGUUACCCACCAGGUCUUCGUCAUGGCGGAAUGCUUCUGGAUGAGCAGCUUGCUGCGAAGGCUGUGGCGGAGGACGGGCGUGAAAGCCAGGGGACCCACGCGUGCGCUCCCUCCUCCACGCUGAAAGCCAGAGUGCAGCCUGAAUGCAAUGGAGAGAAACCAGCCUGUUCUGGAUGUUAACUGUCCCCAUAGGGACCAUCAAAUGCCCACAUCGGGACUCCACAUGAACUUCAGGAAAUGCAGGCAGGUCCUGGAUCUCCCUGCCUCACAGGAUGACAGUGAGCUCAGGACCACCACCUGGAGAAGAGGUUGCAGCCAACAGACCUGGACUGUCACCUGGACCAUUGUCCCACCAGCCAUUCUUCAGUAUGAAGAUUCAUUCCUUUGCAAUUUCCGUGCAAUGUAUAUUCCUUCCUUGCAUUUAUGAAUUCCAAUCAUGGGAGUUCAUAAAGCCUCUUUGAUUUCCUGUGUCUCAGAUGCUAAUAAACCCAGGGGCUAUCGGAGAGUAGCCCCAAAAACAUGA